UACGUAGGGGGCGAGCGUUGUCCGGAAUCAUUGGGCGUAAAGGGCGCGUAGGCGGUUGGUUAAGUCAGGGGUGAAAUCACUGGGCUCAACUCAGUGGCUGCCUUUGAAACUGGCUGACUGGAGUGCGGGAGAGGAAAGCGGAAUUCCUGGUGUAGUGGUGAAAUGCGUAGAUAUCAGGAAGAACACCAAUGGCGAAGGCAGCUUUCUGGACCGUAACUGACGCUAAUGCGCGAAAGCGUGGGGAGCAAACAGGAUUAGAUACCCUGGUAGUCCACGCCUUAAACGUUGGGUAUUAGGUGUAGGAGGCAUUCGACCCCUUCUGUGCCGCAGUUAACGCAUUAAAUACCUCGCCUGGGGACUACGGCCGCAAGGCUAAA
rnacentral:rRNA from 1 species